rfam:Acidovorax sp. JS42, complete genome.
GGGCAGGAUAUGUGAAGUAGGCCCACCGGCAAGCCGGUUGUCCUUCUUCACUGUCCCUUAUUCGCGCGGGGCGCUCAACGGGCAUCCUGCUCUGCGAGGCU